rnacentral:rRNA from 1 species
CACGCAGGCGGCCAUUCAAGUCUGACGUGAAAGCUCCUGGCUUAACUGGGAGAGGUCGUUGGAAACUGAGUGGCUUGAGGCAAUGAGAGGGGUGCGGAAUUCCAGGUGUAGUGGUGGAAUGCGUAGAUAUCUGGAGGAACAUCAGUGGCGAAAGCGGCACCCUGGCAUUGACCUGACGCUCAUGUGCGAAAGCGUGGGGAGCGAACG